rnacentral:rRNA from 1 species
AUUGAACGCUGGCGGCAUGCCUAACACAUGCAAGUCGAACGGGGUAGCAAUACCCAGUGGCGGACGGGUGAGGAAUACAUAGGAAUUUGCCUUUAGGUGGGGGAUAGCCCGGGGAAACUCGGAGUAAUACCGCAUGAUGUCGAAAGACCAAAGUAGGGGAUCGCAAGACCUUGCGCCUUUAGAGAAGCCUAUGUCUGAUUAGCUAGUUGGUAGGGUAAUGGCCUACCAAGGCGACGAUCAGUAGCUGGUCUGAGAGGACGACCAGCCACACUGGGACUGAGACACGGCCCAGACUCCUACGGGAGGCAGCAGUGGGGAAUCUUGGACAAUGGGCGCAAGCCUGAUCCAGCCAUGCCGCGUGGGUGAAGAAGGCC